rnacentral:rRNA from 1 species
GACGAACGCUGGCGGCGUGCUUAACACAUGCAAGUCGAACGGAAAGGCCCUGCUUUUGUGGGGUGCUCGAGUGGCGAACGGGUGAGUAACACGUGGGUAACCUGCCCUUGACUUUGGGAUAACUUCAGGAAACUGGGGCUAAUACCGGAUAGGAGCUCCUGCUGCAUGGUGGGGGUUGGAAAGUUUCGGCGGUUGGGGAUGGACUCGCGGCUUAUCAGCUUGUUGGUGGGGUAGUGGCUUACCAAGGCUUUGACGGGUAGCCGGCCUGAGAGGGUGACCGGCCACAUUGGGACUGAGAUACGGCCCAGACUCCUACGGGAGGCAGCAGUGGGGAAUAUUGCACAAUGGGCGGAAGCCUGAUGCAGCAACGCCGCGUGCGGGAUGACGGCCUUCGGGUUGUAAACCGCUUUCGCCUGUGACGAAGCGUGAGUGACGGUAAUGGGUAAAGAAGCACCGGCUAACUACGUGC